UACAGAGGGUGCGAGCGUUAAUCGGAAUUACUGGGCGUAAAGCGCACGUAGGCGGACAUUUAAGUCAGGGGUGAAAUCCCAGAGCUCAACUCUGGAACUGCCUUUGAUACUGGGUGUCUUGAGUAUGGAAGAGGUGAGUGGAAUUCCGAGUGUAGAGGUGAAAUUCGUAGAUAUUCGGAAGAACACCAGUGGCGAAGGCGACUCACUGGCCCGUUACUGACGCUGAGGCGCGAAAGCGUGGGGAGCAAACAGG
rnacentral:rRNA from 1 species